AUUGAACGCUGGCGGAAUGCUUUACACAUGCAAGUCGAACGGCAGCACGGACUUCGGUCUGGUGGCGAGUGGCGAACGGGUGAGUAACAUAUCGGAACGUAUCCAAUAAUGGGGGAUAACGAGUCGAAAGAUUCGCUAAUACCGCAUACGCCCUACGGGGGAAAGCUGGGGACCUUCGGGCCUGGCGUUAAUGGAGCGGCCGAUAUCUGAUUAGCUAGUUGGUGAGGUAAAGGCUCACCAAGGCGACGAUCAGUAGCUGGUCUGAGAGGACGACCAGCCACACUGGAACUGAGACACGGUCCAGACUCCUACGGGAGGCAGCAGUGGGGAAUUUUGGACAAUGGGCGCAAGCCUGGUCCAGCCAUUCCGCGUGAGUGAAGAAGGCCUUCGGGUUGUAAAGCUCUUUCGCAAGGGAAGAAAACUUAGCCACUAACAUUGGUUGAGGUUGACGGUACCUUGAUAAGAAGCACCGGCUAACUACGUGCCAGCAGCCGCUGUAA
rnacentral:rRNA from 1 species